UACGGAGGGGGCAAGCGUUAUCCGGAUUCACUGGGUUUAAAGGGUGCGUAGGUGGGCAGGCAAGUCAGUGGUGAAAUCUCCGAGCUUAACUCGGAAACUGCCGUUGAUACUAUUUGUCUUGAAUAUUGUGGAGGUAAGCGGAAUAUGUCAUGUAGCGGUGAAAUGCUUAGAUAUGACAUAGAACACCAAUUGCGAAGGCAGCUUACUACACAACGAUUGACGCUGAGGCACGAAAGCGUGGGGAUCAAACAGG
rnacentral:rRNA from 1 species